AUAGGAAUAGCAUCAGGGGAGAAAAAGGGGGUGCCUGAACUAGCACACUUCCCCUCUCAUCAUCUUCUUCCAAGAAAAGUCCUUCAGCAGGGUAAGGGAUCAAUCUAGAGCAGUUCCCUAGCCUUCAGGAGGCAUUAAGGAGAUAGCUAAAAACAAGUGAAGAAAGCUUCAAAUUUCAGAAGACCCACAACACCUAGAACCAAGGGCAGAGGUUUAAUCAGCACACUAGGCUCAUUGAAAGCAGCAUUAUAUAGUUCCAUUGCUGAAGGAAGGAUUUUGUGAAUUUUCCAAGGGUAGAAGACCAACACCCAAAUAGAUAUCAGCAGAAGCUAGUGAGGAUCAGAAAACAGUGAGUAGCGUUAGUGUAGAGAAAGUAGAAAUCAGAGAUGUGAAAUGCCACCUUUAUUACAUAUUGCAUUCUCAUAUAUUCUAGAAUAUUCUAGUCCAUUUUAAAAUGGUAGAUUCAAGAGUGAUAACUAUAUUUCUAGAUUUUAUUUUUUCUUUUCCUUUUUAGUGAGUGAAUUAAGAACCUUUGGAAAUAUUUUUUUUUUUUUUAUAGUUUAUCCGAGGUUAGCAUAGGGUGUAGUCUUUUUGAAGUUUCUUUCAAGACCUUGCUUUUUCUUAUUUUGUCUUUGUCCUUGUCAGAUAGGCUUAUAUAUUUAUUCACUCAAUCAGCAAAUACACUGAGUACCUUCCAAAUAGCAAGCAGAUUAUUCUAAGCUGUAAAGUUAGUUUCCACUACAGUUUAUUUUAUUGUAUUUGUUUCAUGUUAACUGAAGGUUACCAUCCAGCCUUUAUACUAGUUGGAGCGUAUGCUUCACAGAAUUCUUACCUACAGAGCGACAUUAAGAUUACAAGAAGAAAGAAACAAAAGUACACAUAAGUACACCCACCCACAAAAAUACAGGAAAUAUUAAUGAUGCCAAAGAAAAUAUUCAGUGGAAUAGUUGAGAAUGUGCUCUGUAAAGCCAUGGCACAUCUCUUCAAAAUCAUUGACUAAAAGAACAUCAUGAGAAAAACAGCAUUGUUUCUUUGUUGGUGCUUCUAACAUCUUUCCUGGGAAUUCAGGUGGAACAGAGAAUCCAAUGAAAUCUGGUGCUUUGCAUCAUUAUUAAGCUCAUAUCUACAAGCUAAUCAUGUGUGAUAAGGCUAAAAUGCAAAAGCAUUUGAAUCAAUAGCUCUUUCAGAUGCUUUUCUGAUAAAAUUGCUUCAUUUUCUUUUCUAGCUAGUUAAUUCAUGUAAGUAGAAAGAUUAAGAGAAAAACUUAUUCAUAUUAAGAGUAACAAGAUCCUAACAGUUUAUUGGACUGUAUUGUUGGCAUCUUUGCAACCAAUAAGGCUUUUUAAUAAUCAGAUCUCAGAAACAUCUGUCUUAGAAAGGGGUAUACUCUCUGGCUUCCAUUUACUUGAAAAGGAAUUAACCUAGGGUCAGGAGUAGAGGUUAGGUUACUUCUACCUGGAAAUUAAUCAGAAAAUUCAUUUUGCCCUUUGAUGUUGCUUGUCUGCACACACACGCCCUCGCUCCCACCUCUACCUUUUAUCUUCUUAAAAUCCUAAAGCUCCCUUUCAUGCGUUGUAGUAGUUUAAAGGAAUUUAAAGUUGUGGAUUUCUAUAUUUAUGUAAUUAUAUACUUAAAAUAUAAUAGGGUAGGGUAAAGUGUUUUUAAAAGAUGUGACACUUUAAAGAAAAUCACAGAUAUCAUAAGUGACUUUAAUAUAUUGGCAAAUUUCAGGCUACAUUCUUAGUCAUAUUUCUGCUAGAAGAAACCUACUUUCCAUUUUGUGUUUUCUCAUUUGCAUUACUGCAAAGUUAUUCAUGCAUAUGAAAAGGGUAUUAUUCAUCUCCAUAUUCCUUUCUCUCCAUAUUCCAAACCCAGUGUGCUUGUGAGUUAUACAUAAACACUGCUGUACCUCUAUAUUUAUGCAUAUGUAUCUAUGUGAUUCAAAUUUGGCAUCACAACUGGAUAGCAAGCCCAAGUGAUAACAUUAUGUACUAGAGGUGUCUUAUCACAUCAUUAAUGACAUAUCAAAAUUGUCAAUUAUGUUGAAAUCCAAUAAUUGUAACUGACAAGCUUUAGCAUGAUUUGUCUCCACUGGGAAGGAUUAUAAAAGAGAGAGAGAGAAAGGAAUGUACUUUUGAAUCCCCCCUCUAAGUGCAUGUAACUGUAUGGUAAGCUCUUAUUAUUUCUACAAAUAAUUUUAGUGAGAUGCUAUUUUCACAUUAUUCAUGGUACCUGGCUAGUGAAGUAUUUAUGUUCCUAAGCCUCAUUAUCUCCUAAAUUCAGAAAUCCAUUGCUAUUUCAGAAAGAACCACAAACUUGAACUGGCAAGAAGAAAAAUGACCAACCUGGCAGGGCUUGUCUCCCUCUAAUGUAUGAUUCUUCUUAACUCCAUAUUCCAGGAAAUUAUUCACUUGGAAGUUUAGAGUUCACGGAAAACAACUAUUUCUCUUCUACUCUCCAGUUCUACUUCUACCCAUUAGAAAAGCAAACAGUAUUGCUUAAUUCCAAAGAAGUUUGCUCUCAAAAAUAUCUUGGCAUUUGGCAAUAAGAGGAAAAGAAAGUGACAAUGAACUUCAUGGACACAGAAUUCAUUCUUUACAGUGACGAGGUAUUCAAGAAUCCUCACUCUUUGUGUCCUGUUUUAUCUGUAUUUGGGGAUGGUAUCUAAGAGGAGAAAAGGGAAGCUUAUGGUUUUUUUUUUUUUCCUUUAAAAUAUAUUUCCAUUUACCAAUGGAUUAUUUUAAGCCCAGAGAAAAUUAUGAUUGCAUUAUUCUUUUCAGUAAUCGUGGCAGGUAUUAAAGUGAACAGACAAUGGUAGCGUAUAUGGAAUAACCUGGUUUUCUAGACAGACCCACUUGUCCGAGAUCAAACGGCUACAGCACAUUUAGGGUUACAGUCUCCUUCCCUUCCUCCUCUUUCUCAACCGCAGUGGAGCUUUUUCCAGUGUUGCCAUGGUAACACUAUAUCUGGCUGCUAGCUCUGUCGUAAGUUAUUGAACUGAGACUGGCUUUUGGUUUAGCAGAUAAUUAGGUUCUGUCUCACAGGUUCAUUUUCCUGUGACUGGGACGUGAAUAUGACCUACAGCUGGCCUCAAUUUCAGUGUCACAGACAAAACUUUAACCCUUCCCAAGCUCCCAAGGUACUCUCUUAAGCCUUGCUUGUGAAGUAGAGGAAGUCCAUUGCAGCCCACAUACACCUUGAAGAGGAUUACCAAGUCCUCAUUUUAUUUUUUUUUUGUCUUCAUGCGAACACCAAGGAAAAUACGAUCAAGACUGUAUACCUAGAGCAUUUUCAAAAUUUAAAAUAUAUCAACAAUAAUGUAUAUGUGCUUAUGUAUUUAACAUGUAACAUAUAGAACUUUCUCUAGGUGUUUUCAUUUCCCUGCUUCUUCAAUAAUUUUUUAAGUCACGUCAAAGUGUCUUGUACUGCAUUUUGGUUUGGAUUCCAGAGCAUUUAGAUUUGAAAACCCCGUUAUCAGAAUAUUAACUUGCUACCCUUAUUCUCAGCUUCCAGAACUUUCUGCCCGUUGAUUCAUGCCCCUCCUUCUCCUUUUUAUAAGCCCUAGAUUUUUGCUGACAUUGAAAGGUUCCUUUGGAGUCCCAGGCAGGUCUCUGCUACAGGAAACAAUGCCACCACUCUAUGAAAUGCCCAAAUGAUCACUCAGGGCUUAAAACUUGCUGAUUUGGAAAAUCAGCAAAGCUCUGCCCUUUGUUUAGGACAAAGAAAGAAGACUAACUUUUAGAACAAAUAUUGAUUUCACAAUCCCACAGCAACAGAGAGCCUGCAUGGUUAAUAUGAGAGGGCAUGUCUUUCUAUGUCAAACAAUAGGAAAGACCUUCAAGGAAAUCUGUUUGAAAAAUUUAGUGUAUUUUACCUAAAAGCUUCCCAUGAAAAGGUAAGACAGGAACAAGGGAAGUUGAGUUCACCAUCAUUAAAACAUGAAUUAAGUUUCUCCAUUGGCUAGAGAAUCACAUAACUAUGUCAAGAGAGAUAGGAAAGACCUACAGCACGUUGAAGACUCAAGGGUUGGAAGCUGGAGCUAGGAUUGUGUGUGUGUGUGUGUGUGUGUGUGUGUGUGUGUGUGUUCGCGCGCGCGCAUGUGCGUGCCCAUGUAUACCACAUAGACUAUAUUGUUUUAAUCCAUUCCUUCCAUCCUCAAACUCUAACUUGGAAGAGCAUCUUGAAUGGCAGCAGCCUCAAGUCCUGGUAUCCUCUGCUCAUUCUCUUCAAUCCAUAGAGUUUUCUACACUUCUGUAAAAGGUAUGACUUAGUGUUUGGUCUGUGAUAUAAGGUAAGAAGGAGAUUAUUCCUUUUAACUUUCUAGCUCAUCUUAAUCUUUUUUUCUUUAUGUUUCUAUUAGCACAUAAGUCAAAUAUAUUGGUUUUUGUGGUGGUUAUCCUGCUCUGCUUCUUGACAGCCCUUUGCUCUAGAAGACUCAUUUUGACAAUGGAAUACCUCAAACUCACCCCUGGUCAGAAUUCCUCUCACCCCCCAAAUAUUACUGAAUAAAGUAAAUUU
rnacentral:lncRNA from 1 species